rnacentral:rRNA from 1 species
AAAUUGAAGAGUUUGAUCAUGGCUCAGAUUGAACGCUGGCGGCAGGCUUAACACAUGCAAGUCGAACGGUAACAGGAAGAAGCUUGCUUCUUUGCUGACGAGUGGCGGACGGGUGAGUAAUGUCUGGGAAACUGCCUGAUGGAGGGGGAUAACUACUGGAAACGGUAGCUAAUACCGCAUAACGUCGCAAGACCAAAGAGGGGGACCUUCGGGCCUCUUGCCAUCGGAUGUGCCCAGAUGGGAUUAGCUAGUAGGUGGGGUAACGGCUCACCUAGGCGACGAUCCCUAGCUGGUCUGAGAGGAUGACCAGCCACACUGGAACUGAGACACGGUCCAGACUCCUACGGGAGGCAGCAGUGGGGAAUAUUGCACAAUGGGCGCAAGCCUGAUGCAGCCAUGCCGCGUGUAUGAAGAAGGCCUUCGGGUUGUAAAGUACUUUCAGCGGGGAGGAAGGGAGUAAAGUUAAUACCUUU